GCGUUAUGAAUGCAGUGAAAUCAUCUGGUGGUUUGAGGGAAGAGUUGUUUAAUGCUGCAUAUAAUGCAAAGAGGCAAGCAUUACUUAAAGGCAAGAACGCAUCUCCAAUGUGGGACCGAUUAGUAUUUGACAAAAUAAAAGCCAAACGUGGCGGCGGGUUCGUUUUAUGGUUUCAGGGGCGUCUCCAUUGUCUGCUAAUGUCAUUGAUUUUCUUAAAGUGUGCUUUGGUUGACCU